GAUGAACGCUGGCGGUAUGCCUAACACAUGCAAGUCGAACGGGCUUUUCGGAGCUAGUGGCGGACGGGUGAGUAACGCGUGAGAAUCUGCCUUCGGAUGGGGAUAACAGGGAGAAAUCGCUGCUAAAACCCAAUGUGCCGAAAGGUGAAAUACUUGUAGCCAGAAGAGGAGCUCGCGUCCGAUUAGUUAGUUGGUGGGGUAAGAGCCUACCAAGGCAGCGAUCGGUAGCUGGUCUGAGAGGAUGAGCAGCCACACUGGGACGGAGACACGGCCCAGACUCCUACGGGAGGCAGCAGUGGGGAAUUUUCCGCAAUGGGCGAAAGCCUGACGGAGCAAUACCGCGUGAGGGAGGAAGGCUUUUGGGUUGUAAACCUCUUUUGUUAAGGAAGAAGAAAGUGACGGUACUUAAAGAAUAAGCAUCGGCUAACUCCGUGCCAGCCGCCGCAGUAA
rnacentral:rRNA from 1 species